GAUCCAGCGGGCAGGCGCCGCUCAGGCCGGAAGUGAGGGGCGGACCCGAGGCAGCGCGCUUCUUUUGAACUCGGAGGCGGCAGAGUGCAGCGCCAGAUAAGUCCCAUUUUUGUGUCAAUGAGAACUGGAUUCUCCAUUUACAAAUUUCAUGUGCCUGAAGAUUGGAAAGAUCCUUCACAGAUGGGCUUCUGGCUCAUACACUUCUGGUUGGGUGCUAUAGGACACAGCCAUUCUGUGACACAACCUCAGAUCUUACAUGCUGCAUGAUGCCUGCCAGUUGGCAAAGUGAGUGCGUACUAGUUGUAUUCCUGGAAGACUCUCUCAAACAACAAUCAAUUACACAUAGAAAUACCUGCUGAUUACACAACAGGUGCCCCCUGCAUGGAUUGAGUGGUGCCUGCCAAACAGAUACAUCUAUGUCCUAACCUGGGGAUACAAUAAAUAUGACUGUAUGUGGUCA